GAUGAACGCUGGCGGCGUGCUUAACACAUGCAAGUCGAACGGAAAGGCUCCUGCUUGCAGGGGUACUCGAGUGGCGAACGGGUGAGUAACACGUGGGUGAUCUGCCCUGCACUUCGGGAUAAGCCUGGGAAACUGGGUCUAAUACCGGAUAGGACGAUGGUUUGGAUGCCAUUGUGGAAAGUUUUUCGGUGUGGGAUGAGCUCGCGGCCUAUCAGCUUGCUGGUGGGGUAAUGGCCUACCAAGGCGUCGACGGGUAGCCGGCCUGAGAGGGUGUACGGCCACAUUGGGACUGAGAUACGGCCCAGACUCCGACGGGUGGCAGCAGUGGGGAAUAUUGCACAAUGGGCGCAAGCCUGAUGCAGCGACGCCGCGUGGUGGAUGACGGCCUUCGGGUUGUAAACUCCUUUCGCUAGGGACGAAGCGUUUUGUGACGGUACCUGGAGAAGAAGCACCGGCUAACUACGUG
rnacentral:rRNA from 1 species